rnacentral:rRNA from 1 species
UUAAGUCCCGCAACGAGCGCAACCCUCGCCUCUAGUUGCCAGCAUUCGUUGGGCACUCUAGAGGGGACUGCCGGCGACAAGUCGGAGGAAGUGGGGAUGACGUCAAAUCAUCAUGCCCCUUAUGACCUGGGCUACACACGUGCUACAAUGGGCGGUACAAAGGGCUGCGAACCCGCGAGGGGGAGCGAAUCCCAAAAAAGCCGCUACUCAGUUCGGAUUGCAGGCUGCAACUCGCCUGCAUGAAGCCGGAAUCGCUAGUAAUCGCGGAUCAGCAUGCCGCGGUGAAUACGUUCCCGGGCCUU